UGUUUAGUGUAAGUAUGUCCCAUGCAAUAUCUGGGACAUACUUAUACUAAAA
rfam:Pan troglodytes isolate Yerkes chimp pedigree #C0471 (Clint) chromosome 1, whole genome shotgun sequence.